AGGGGAGCUUCUCCCGCUGGAUGUUCACUGAGCUCGAACCCUGCAAGCUCAGCCUGGUGCUGCUGCUGGAGUUAGUGUGGUAUCGUGGCAUCACUGGUACAGAGCGGGGGCAGUGGAAAGAGGCGAGUACCAGCUCUGGGAUCCUGUGAACUGGGCAGAGUGGGUGAGAUGGAAUCCACGAUGCACUUAGCAGACUGCAGGUACCCAGCGGAGGUUGGCAGGCUUCACACUGCCCACACCUGAAGAGCCCUCUCAUUUGACAUCCCAAAUCCCCGGGCCACUCGUCGCUGUGCCUGGAGGUUGAGGUGAUUUUUCAGCUGCAUAGUGAAGCUUUUCCACAGGGCGAGACCCCCGGCCCCAGGCCCUUGCCUCUUUGGUACAGGUGACCUCUGGAGCCCACACAAUGGAUGUGAU
rnacentral:lncRNA from 1 species